AAGGAACGCUGGCAGCGUGCAUAACACAUGCAAGUCGAACGGGAUUAUUAUCUUCGGAUGAUAUGAGAGUGGCGAACGGGUGAGUAACACGUAAGAAUCUACCUUUAGGACGGGGAUAACUUCUGGAAACGGAUGCUAAUACCCGAUAUGCUGUGGAGUGAAAGGAAUUUCGCCUAAAGAUGAUCUUGCGUCUGAUUAGCUAGAUAGUGUGGUAAUGGCGCACUAUGGCGACGAUCAGUAGCUGGUCUGAGAGGAUGGACAGCCACAUUGGAACUGAGACACGGUCCAA
rnacentral:rRNA from 1 species